UCUUUAUGUUUGAGCUGGUAAUUUAUUCCAUAAUCUAGGGGCAGCACAGAGAAAUGACCGGUCCCCGAGGGUUACUUUGGUUUUAUAUGGGGGUAUUUGCAACAUAAAUG